rnacentral:rRNA from 1 species
UGGCAAGUCGACCAAAGGCGAAAGCAGUCAUCAAGGGCAUACCCGUUGAUCAAGAGCGAAAGUUAAGGGUUCGAAGACGAUCAGAUACCGUCGUAGUCUUAACUAUAAAUGAUACUGACCAGGGAUAGGACACUGUCCAUUCCGACUCCUUCUGGACCUUAGAGAAAUCAAAGUCUUUGAGUUCUGGGGGGAGUAUGGUCGCAAGGCUGAAACUUAAAGGAAUUGACGGAAGGGCACACAAAGAGUGGAACCUGCGGCUUAAUUUGACCCAACACGGGAAAACUCACCAGGUCCAGAUACACGUAUGAAAGACAAGCUGAUAGACUUUUCUCAAUGAUGUAAGUGGUGGUGCAUGGUCGUUCUUAGUUCGUGGAUUGAUUUGUCUGGUCUAUUCCGAUAACGAGCGAGACCCCUUCGUUCCUACUAGGGGCGGCAGCCCGGCUUACCUGCCCUCACGGGCGGGUUUGCUAGCAGCCGCCUAAGAAUCGGCUUCUUAGACGUAUCAGGGCCGAUAAGGUCCUUGAAAUGGGUUAAUAACAGGUCAGUCAUGCCCUUAGAUGUUCUGGGCCGCACGCGCGUUACAAUGGUAUACAUUAGAACGUGCUCCUAUGGGGCUUCUCCGCGGCCGACGGGUCGCGGUAACCCCUAGUCUCUUCCUUGACUGGGACAGACUAUUGCAAUUAUUGGUCUCCAACGAGGAAUUUUUAGUAGUCGCAGGUCAUUAACCUGGGACGAAUGCGUCCCUGCCCUUUGUACACACCGCC